rnacentral:rRNA from 1 species
GAUGAACGCUAGCUACAGGCUUAACACAUGCAAGUCGCGGGGCAGCAUGGGGGUUGCUUGCAACUCCCGAUGGCGACCGGCGCACGGGUGAGUAACGCGUAUCCAACCUGCCCUUCACCACGGGAUAACCCGGCGAAAGUCGGACUAAUACCGUAUGUUGUCCAUUGACGGCAUCCGAUUUGGACGAAAGGCUUUGCGGUGAAGGAUGGGGAUGCGUCCGAUUAGCCAGACGGCGGGGUAACGGCCCACCGUGGCUACGAUCGGUAGGGGUUCUGAGAGGAAGGUCCCCCACACUGGAACUGAGACACGGUCCAGACUCCUACGGGAGGCAGCAGAGAGGAAUAUUGGUCAAUGGGCGUAAGCCUGAACCAGCCAAGUAGCGUGCAGGAUGACGGCCCUAUGGGUUGUAAACUGCUUUUAUGCGGGGAUAAAGUGGCCCACGUGUGGGCUUUUGCAGGUACCGCAUGAAUAAGGACCGGCUAAUUCCGUG